rnacentral:rRNA from 1 species
AAUCAACGCUGGCGGCGUGCCUCAGACAUGCAAGUCGAACGAUUAAGACUUCCUUCGGGAAGUGUAUAAAGUGGCGCACGGGUGAGUAACACGUAAGUAAUCUACCUCGAGUGGGGAAUAACGUCCGGAAACGGACGCUAAUACCGCAUAAUGCAGCGGCAUCGUAAGAUGACAGUUGUUAAAGAUUUAUCGCUUGAAGAGGAGCUUGCGGCAGAUUAGCUAGUUGGUAAGGUAAUGGCUUACCAAGGCUACGAUCUGUAACCGGUCUUAGAGGACGGUCGGUCACACUGACACUGAAUAACGGGUCAGACUCCUACGGGAGGCAGCAGUCGGGAAUUUUGGGCAAUGGGCGAAAGCCUGACCCAGCAACGCCGCGUGAAGGAGGAGGUAUUUCGGUAUGUAAACUUCGAAAGAAUGGGAAGAAUAAAUGACGGUACCAUUUAUAAGGUCCGGCUAACUACGUGCCAGCCGCCGCAGUAAGAC